ACACUCUGUUUUGUAUGAGUUCCCAACUUCAUUUUAAUAUAUAAAAGCAUUCAGCUCUUUCAGCCGACCAGUCACUGUAUAUUCCAUCUAUUCGGCUCAUCAGCCGACCCAAACUUCAGUGUUUUUCGUACAUUCGGCUCAUCCAGCCGAACCGAUUCCACAUUAGAUAUUUUCGAACUCAGCUGAUCCGAUCUCUCAUCAGCCGAAUCGCUUGAUCCAGUCGAAGGGCGCAAACAUUGAGGGUCACUA
rnacentral:lncRNA from 1 species